rnacentral:rRNA from 1 species
UAGGGAAUCUUCGGCAAUGGACGAAAGUCUGACCGAGCAACGCCGCGUGAAUGAAGAAGGUUUUCGGAUCGUAAAACUCUGUUGGUAGAGAAGAACGUUGGUGAGAGUGGAAAGCUCAUCAAGUGACGGUAACUACCCAGAAAGGGACCGCUAACUACGUGCCAG